GGAGAACCUGCGGCUGGAUCACCUCCUUUCUAAGAGAGAACGUCAUGGCACUCGCGCCCAUCCUUUGGAUGAGCCAUCGCAAGAUGGUAGUGCGCGGGAUGUUGCCAUGUACCCCGAACUACCUUUCACCUGAAAGGUGGAUCGGGAGCCUCACUUGGACAUCUCUUUUCCAAGCAAUUCUCUGAUGGUCACGGCAGGCUUAGCCUGCCAGCACGUUCAACUUUGUCCUCGAAAUCAUUUCAACCGAGGGUUCGAAACUGAGGCGCCGGAUGUUGAGUUCCGGCAAGGUCGAUGACCGGGCCUGUAGCUCAGCUGGCUAGAGCGCACCCCUGAUAAGGGUGAGGUCGGUAGUUCGACUCUACCCAGGCCCACCAAGUUCAGUGGUUAGUGAUUAGUGGCUAGUGGCUAGAAAAGCUAAUGGCAACUGAUGACUAACAGCUGAUAGCUCAUGUGGGGCUGUAGCUCAGCUGGGAGAGCACCUGGUUUGCAACCAGGGGGUCGCCGGUUCGAUCCCGGUCAGCUCCACCAAUGAUUUCGAACAAGUCUGUUGCAAAUGCGACGGACUGCCCUAAGUUGGGCGUCAGCAGCGACAACCGUACAAAUCUGUAACGGUCACGAGCGCAAGUCGCUUGGCACCGAACUUUGGGCAGCACGCAAGUGAAGCUCAACCCACCCAGGUGGGACGCCGUAAGGGCGGAUGAUUUUUGACAACUGAAUAGCAUUGGGUAACUACAAGCGAGAGUCAAAGAGUAAAAGAGUAAGUUUUAUGAGUGCCUUAGAAUCUGCUGGGGCUUCAGCGGUCGGCAAUAACCGCGAGGAAGCGAUGAGCAGACAAAUAGGGUCACAAAUGACUUGGCGCGGAGCGCGCAAGCGCUGUGGGCUGAGUAAAUUUUGUGGUCAAGCUACUAAGGGCGCAU
rnacentral:tRNA from 1 species